GAUGUUUGAUCAUGGCUCAAGACGAUUCGCUGGCGGCGUGCGUAGCGCAUGCAAGUCGAACGAGAAACCAGCCUUUGAUUCCUUCGGGAUGAGUAGGGCCGAGUAGAAAGUGGCGAUCGGGUGAGUAACGCGUGGGUAAUCUACACCUGUAAGUGGGGGAUAACCCUCCGAAAGGAGGGCUGAUACCGCAUAGCAUCUUCCCUUCAUAAGAAGGAGAGAUAUAAAGAUGGCCUCUUUAUAUGCUAUCACUUCAGGAGGAGUCCGCGUCCUAUUAGUUAGUUGGUAGGGUAAUGGCCUACCAAGACCACAAUGGGUAGCCGGUCUGAGAGGAUGUACGGCCACACUGGGACUGAGAUGCGGCCCAGACUCCUACGGGAGGCAGCA
rnacentral:rRNA from 1 species